rnacentral:misc_RNA from 1 species
CUGCGGCGUGGAAAGUGGCGGAAAGCGAGGAAUCGAAGUCGCGGAAGUGCCGUAACGUAGUGUCCGUCGUUUUUCCCGGGUCGUGGUCGUCGUGAACGACCGCAUGUACGACCCGGACUCGUCGUGAGCGUGACGCGACGACGCGACGACGACGUUGCGAGAGAAUCGCUCCUCAGAAUUUCUGUUUGCGCGGAAACGGCGCGCGUUACUGGAGGGUUCUAGGUAAGAAAAAGAUAAAGGCAGACGGAGCAAGAAAGAAGCCAAAAAAGAAAGUGGAAGAGAAAGAAAGAGAGAAAGAGAGACGGAUUCUCAAUUUCUGCGGCUUUUGACGACCGUUGUGAAUUGGCCAGAGUCCAAAAUACUCCAGAAUUGGCCGAAUGGCGCACGCACGAUUCAGCUGUAUGUCCGUGCAUCUCGUGGAAUAAUGCAUCUUUCUCCCGGGGAUUUCUCUCAUCUGGAUGACAGUGCCUGCCAGCGACGGGACGUAGGGUGACGUCGGUGAGGUGAGAAAGUAUGGAGCGUUCAUCGGACGUCGCAGUUAUACCUCGCUCGAAUCAUUACUGCAUUUAGCCUUACAAUAGAUCUCGAUAGUCUUUAAUGCGACAGAAACAGUACAUUGUUGAGGCACAGUAAUCCAAACUCCUGUAAGGAGAGAUGGAUGCGGUGUGCGAUGAGGACAGGCGGAGACGCCUACGGGCUUUGGAGGAGAGUAUAAAGGAUCCUAGAAGCGUCACGAAUAUCGAUUGCUUGUUGGACACAGUUCAAGCCCUGGUAACAGAUUGCGAUCAUGCCAGUGUGAAACGUAUGAAGAAUAUAGAAGCUUAUAUGAAUAGAUAUGACUCUGUAGCCCAAGAGAUUUUUAAAAUGCGAAUGCGCAUGGACGAUUUUACUUUGAUAAAAGUAAUCGGCCGCGGCGCAUUCGGAGAGGUGCAGUUGGUUAGACACAAAUCUACGCAAAAAGUUUAUGCUAUGAAAUUACUUAGUAAAUUUGAAAUGAUUAAAAGGUCGGAUUCCGCAUUUUUUUGGGAAGAAAGAGACAUAAUGGCUCAUGCAAACUCACCAUGGAUAGUCCAACUCCACUUUGCGUUCCAAGAUCAAAAGUAUCUCUACAUGGUGAUGGAUUACAUGCCGGGCGGGGAUCUGGUUAACUUGAUGUCGAAUUAUGAAGUACCAGAAAAAUGGGCAAAAUUUUACUGUGCCGAAGUGGUGCUUGCAUUGGACGCGAUACAUAAUAUGGGUUUUGUUCAUAGAGACGUGAAACCGGACAACAUGUUGCUCGAUAGACAUGGCCAUUUGAAACUUGCCGACUUUGGCACGUGUAUGAGGAUGGAUGUUGAUGGUUUAGUGCGAUCUGACACUGCAGUUGGUACACCCGAUUACAUAUCUCCGGAGGUUCUACAGUCACAAGGCGGAGAAGGAGUAUAUGGUCGCGAAUGCGACUGGUGGUCCGUGGGUGUCUUUUUGUACGAGAUGUUGUUUGGCGAUACACCGUUCUUUGCCGAUUCUCUAGUCGGCACAUAUUCUAAGAUCAUGGACCACAGGAAUUCACUGUACUUCCCUCAAAAUGUUGAGAUAUCUCACUCAGCGAAAAACUUAAUAUGUGGCUUCCUUACCGAUAGAACAAAGCGCCUGGGUCGCAAUGGCGUCGACGAAAUCAAAAGCCAUCCAUUUUUCAAGAAUGAUCAAUGGACCUUUGACAAUUUGAGGGAAUGUGUACCGCCGGUAGUGCCAGAACUUUCCGGGGACGAUGAUACCAGCAAUUUCGAUGAUGUCGACAAGGAGGAUGGACCAGAGGAGAGUUUUCCAGUACCUAAAGCUUUUUCCGGAAAUCAUUUGCCUUUUAUCGGAUUUACUUAUUCGGGUGAUUACCAGCUAAUGGUUUCUUACGGCAAGGAAUCCGUGGAUGGUCUUGAGAAUCAUGUCAACAAUGGUACUUCCGACGAUAUCAAGAUUUCGCAGCUAGAGAAUUUACUGGAACGUGAGAGGCGGCAAGUGGAGACGAUGGAGUCGAGACAGAAGGCACUAAACACGCAAUUGGAAACGAUGGCAUGUCGAGAAGUUGAGCUGCGUGAGGAAGUUAGCAGGGCGGAUAAGGAGUUGACGCUACUCAGGCACAAUUAUAAAGAGGCGCAACGCAGAGUAGAGCAUGAAACAGAAACUCGUCGUAAAGCGGAGUCACUGUUGGUAGAGGUAAAAAAGAAAUUCGAUGAGGAGCAGACGAGACGGGCGCGUGAUGCUAGCAACUCACAGCAGACAUCCGAACGAGUGACGACGUUGGAGAAACAGAUCAAAGAGAUGCAAUGCAAAUUGGAGAGAGAAACGGAAACAGUUACGAGAUUGCGCAAACAAGCGACGGAAAUCACCGUGGCGCGUCAAGCCGCCGAGCAAAUGGCGAACGAGUUGCAAGUUGCCCGAGCUCAAUUGCAAGCGCAGCGUGAUAACUUGCAACAAGAAGUUGCUACUCUUCAGGGCCAGCUUUCCAAGGAACGUAGUUCGAGGUCGCAAGCGUCAUUAUUGACGGCCGAAUUAGAGACUCGUCUUUCCACUUUACAUCUCGAGUUGGAACGCAGCCAUGAGAAAGAGGAAAAGGCGACUCUGGACAACAGGCAACUAACUGAAAGAGUUUCUGCGUUGGAGAAAGAAGCUGCUAGCUUAACAUUGGAACUGAAAGCCGCGCAAGCUAGAUAUAAUCAGGAAGUUGUGGCACAUCAAGAAACGGAGCGUUCGCGCAUUCUUUCCAAGGAAGAAGCCAAUUUGGAAGUUGUGAAAGCUCUACAAGUAAAAUUAAACGAGGAGAAAAGUGGAAGACAACGUGCAGAAUUACUUGCACAAGAAAAAGAACGGCAGACGUCAAUGCUAUCUGUCGAUUAUAGACAGAUACAGCAACGAUUGCAGAAAUUAGAGGGUGAACACAGGCAAGAGAUGGAGAAAGCCAAAGUUCUGCAGGGUCAAGUUGAACAGGAGCAACAGAAAAGAAACGUUCUGCAAACUGAAUUAGGUCAGCAAACAUCCGAAGCCGGCAGACUUCGUGCUCGCGAGCAACAAUUAGUUGGAGAGGUUGCUCAGUUGAGGGAAGCUAAACGGCAAAUAGAAGAGGAGUUACAUCAUUUGAAGACACAAAGAAACGUCGAUCAAUUACAGACAAAGGAACUGCAAGAACAAUUGGAAGCCGAAGCUUAUUUCUCGACUCUGUACAAAACACAGACACAAGAGUUGCGCGAAGAGUUGGAUGAGAAAAUAAGAUUACAACAAGAAUUAGAAGAAGAACGUAGCUCUCUUGUCCAUCAGCUGCAGUUAUCCUUGGCGCGCGGUGACAGCGAAGCUCUAGCCAGAUCCAUAGCCGAGGAGACUGUGGCGGACUUGGAGAAAGAAAGAACCAUGAAAGAGCUAGAGUAUAAAGACGGAGUAACUAAGCAUCAUCAGGAAUUAAGUACAAAGGAACAGAUCAUAAACAGACUUAAAGAGAACGAGAGUGAAUUCAAGAAAUCAGUUGAUCAAACUCUGAAGGAAAAAGAAGACUUGAGCAAGCGAUAUAAGGAAUUGCAAGAGCAACUUGGUAAAGCACAGUCCAAUGUGGAAGAAAUUGAAAAGCUAAGCAGCAAAUUAAAGACCGAGCAACUAUUGAAGCAGCAGGCAGUCAACAAGUUAGCCGAGAUCAUGAACCGAAAGGAUCUUUCAUCAAGUGGAAAGAAUAAGAAUAAAGCGUCUGCCGCAGAUCUGAGGAAGAAGGAAAAAGAUUGCAGGCGUUUGCAGCAAGAACUCACUCAAGAGAGGGAGAAGUAUGGACAACUGGCAGCUAAAUGGCAAAAGGAUUUGCAAGAUUUGCAAGCGCAACUCGUAGAGGAGAAUCAAGCGAAACUAAGAUUACAGAUGGAACUCGAUUCGAAGGAUUCGGAGAUAGAAACGUUGCAAAUGAAAAUCGCGUCACUCAACUCGGAAACUGCAAGUGUCUCAUCUAUAGAGAACGACGACGGUGAAGACUCUGUCUUGUCUGAGCACGGUACGAUGAGAUUGGAGGGUUGGUUAAAUGUGCCAAAUAAGCAAAAUAUUAAGCGGCACGGUUGGAAGAAGCAAUACGUCGUUGUUUCUUCCAAGAAGAUAAUCUUCUACAACAGCGAAAAUGAUAAAAUGAACGCUGAUCCGGUCCUGAUAUUAGACUUGAAUAAAGUUUUCCAUGUUAGAUCUGUUACUCAGGGUGAUGUUAUCCGAGCCAAUGCCAAAGAUAUACCCAGAAUAUUUCAGUUACUUUACGCUGGUGAAGGUGAAGCAAGGCGGCCCGGUGACGAGGGGAAUACACUGCCUGGAGUGGAUUUACCACAGCUCACAGAUAAACCUGGUACUCAGUCGCUGAAAGGCCAUGAGUUCGUGUCAAUAUCUUAUCACAUGCCAACGACCUGCGAAGUCUGUUCAAAGCAACUGUGGCAUAUGUUUCGGCCUUCGCCAGCCCUCGAAUGUCGAAGGUGCCGUAUUAAAGUUCACAAGGAACAUUUGGAUAAGAAAGAAGAUGCCAUAGCCCCGUGCAAACUACACUACGAUCCGAACAGCGCCCGUGAGCUACUGCUACUCGCUGCUAAUCCUGAGGAUCAAAAGUAUUGGGUCUCACGACUGUCCAGGCGCGUCCAGAAAUGCGGCUACAAGGCGAAUUCGCAUAUGGACGGCACGGGACAACGCGUCUCGCCAAGGUAGCGUAGCUGUGCUGCUGCUCGACGUGAGCGGGGACUAAGUAGCUCUCUUAUUUUGUGACGUCGCAUGAUGUGGGUGUAGAGAGGGAAUCCACAAGGUCGACCUUGAAGCCGUACUUAUCGGUGCAACAACGAUCUGCAACAUUGCCAGCGAACGCUAGCAUGGG